AUUGAACGCUGGCGGAAUGCUUUACACAUGCAAGUCGAGCGGCAGCGCGGGGGCAACCCUGGCGGCGAGCGGCGAACGGGUGAGUAAUACAUCGGAACGUACCCAAUAGUGGGGGAUAACACAUCGAAAGAUGUGCUAAUACCGCAUACGACCUGAGGGUGAAAGGGGGGGAUCGCAAGACCUCUCGCUGUUGGAGCGGCCGAUGUUCGAUUAGCUAGUUGGUGGGGUAAAGGCCUACCAAGGCGACGAUCGAUAGCUGGUCUGAGAGGAUGAUCAGCCAGACUGGGACUGAGACACGGCCCAGACUCCUACGGGAGGCAGCAGUGGGGAAUGUUGGACAAUGGGGGCAACCCGGAUCCAGCCAUUCCGCGUGAGUGAAGAAGGCCUUCGGGUUGUAAAGCUCUUUCGGCAGGAACGAAACGGUUGUCCCUAAUACGGAUGGCUAAUGACGGUACCUGAAGAAGAAGCACCGGCUAACUACGUGCCAGCCGCCGCGGUAA
rnacentral:rRNA from 1 species